UUCUUCUGUCACAUGAUCCAUUAUGUAUGGCUAUCUGUUCAACUUUCCCAAUGCUUGAUACAUUUCUUGCAGAAAGUAACUCUUCUUUUUUUUCUUUUUUUCUUUUCCUUUAGCUUGAUAUGACAGAAUGGAUCACGAUUUCCAACUAGCUAUAAUCAAGCCAACGUCCAUCCUGUUUCUCUAACGUACCGACCGAGCGUAUUAUUGCGGGCUGUCAACGACGGGGGAAACCUGCUACAGAGAGUAUGUUUAUGCCGGAUAUGCAUCCAGGGUUCAUCCUCUUCUCCCUCCCUCGCCAACCCCAACUUUUUACGAAACGAUCUUCGUCCCUUCCAUCCCACUCGCAUCCUCGCUUCCCUAUCCCAUUCAUCCAUCCUUCAUGCUCUUGUAUGUCAUAGGUCCACCUCAGUGACACUGAGUGACUGCAAGCCAUACAUACCUACGUCUACCUACCUUACACUUACUGCACAUACCCUGAUCCGCGCGGCGGAGCGGAGAGCAAUCAUGAUGAGAUCAAAUCAUCGGAACGGAGGAAGAAGCCAAGAUUUCUCAUGUGUCCAUAUAUAUAUACGUAAUGUAAGUAAUGCAAGCAUGGAAGAUGAGACUCGGGCUUGCUCGGCAGAGAAACAGAAAGAAGAACAAACAGAAAGAAGAAGAAACAGAAAGAAGAAGAAACAAAAAAAGAGGAAGAGAGCAAGAAACGAAACAAAACCAGCUCCCGAUAAUACGGGAGAGAUAGUGUAGGAAGACCACCAGCCUGACUGACAUCACUUUCACUCGUUGGUGUGGGAACAAAUUGAAACUACGAAGAUCAAUCUGACAGAUCAGAUAAUGGUUCAGCCUGCCUGCCUAGCUGCAACGGAAAACAACGAAGUAUGGUAGAUCUUAUUUGUUUGGGUUGGGUUGAGCGAGUCCAUCUACCUACCUACUUAGCUAGGUCGGCAUCUCAACAAGGUGUUUGUCUGCAUAUAGUGACAUAGGUAUAGUGACAGUAUUACAUUCAACAAGAACCUGAUGCUGAUA